GAGAUUUUCGCAAUGCCCGAAAGGGUGACGAAGCGACGCCGCGUGCGGGAAGAAGGCCUUCGGGUUGUAAACCGCUGUCGGGAGUUAAGAAAUGUAAGGAUGUUAAUAGCAUCUUUACUUGACUAAGGCUCCGGAGGAAGCCACGGCUAACUCUGUGCCAGCAGCCGCGGUAAUACAGAGGCGGCAAGCGUUGUUCGGAAUUACUGGGCGUAAAGGGCGCGUAGGCGGAAUGGUCCGUCCGAUGUGAAAGUGCUACCGCUCAACGGAGCAAAGCCAUCGGAAACCGCCAUUCUUGAGUCCGGGAGAGGUGAGUGGAAUUGCCAGUGUAGCGGUGGAAUGUGUAGAUAUUGGCAAGAACACCGGUGGCGAAGGCGGCUCACUGGCCCGGUUCUGACGCUGAGUGCGCGAAAGCGUGGGGAGCGAACAGGAUUAGAUACCCUGGUAGUCCACGCCCUAAACGGUGGGCACUAAGUAGAGGGGUUUUA
rnacentral:rRNA from 1 species